GUAGGACUGUGUGGGUCGGCUCUAGUAUGGAUCCCCUUGCAAAGGCAGCACGUGUGUCUCUUUAAUCAACACUUUAUAACAGGCAGAAUCAGUCACUUCUCCAAAAAGCCCUGGCUCCUGUUGUUUGGAAAGGACAUUAGGGAACACAAACUCCGUACUCACGGGCUCUCACUGCUUUCAGGAGUCCUCACCGUGAACUUAGGGCAGCACAGGGUCUGAUGAAAUACAUGUGAGUCAUUGCCAGGCCCUCACCUGUCAGGUGGGGACAUUUCCUGGUUCCAGGACCCGAGACCCCGUCUGCCUCAGAAAAGUGCCCGAGUGGCUUGUGCUGAACCAUGAUUGUUUUCCUCCUAUAUCCACCGGAUGCAGCUAAUGAGAUGGUAAUUAAAUCUCCCCUGAAAAUAUCUGCAAGCUAGCGAUCAGGGAAGGAUAACUUUCCUUUGCCAAGUGAGGACAGAAGACUUUCAGAAAAAGGUGACCCUCGCAUGUGAGCCAUUUGGAGAGCAGAAAAAUGAAGGACUUCAGCACUUUUCAGCUUAAA